rnacentral:siRNA from 1 species
UGGACCGUCAUCUCUUUACUG